rnacentral:rRNA from 1 species
GACGAACGCUGGCGGCGUGCCUAAUACAUGCAAGUAGAACGCUGAAGGAGGAGCUUGCUUCUCCGGAUGAGUUGCGAACGGGUGAGUAACGCGUAGGUAACCUGCCUGGUAGCGGGGGAUAACUAUUGGAAACGAUAGCUAAUACCGCAUAAGAGUAGAUGUCGCAUGACAUUUGCUUAAAAGGUGCAACUGCACCACUACCAGAUGGACCUGCGUUGUAUUAGCUAGUUGGUGAGGUAACGGCUCACCAAGGCAACGAUACAUAGCCGACCUGAGAGGGUGAUCGGCCACCCUGGGACUGAGACACGGCCCAGACUCCUACGGGAGGCAGCAGUAGGGAAUCUUCGGCAAUGGACGGAAGUCUGACCGAGCAACGCCGCGUGAGUGAAGAAGGUUUUCGGAUCGUAAAGCUCUGUUGUAAGAGAAGAACGAGUGUGAGAGUGGAAAGUUCACACUGUGACGGUAUCUUACCAGAAAGGGACGGCUAACUACGUG